UACGGGGGGAGCAAGCGUUGUUCGGAUUUACUGGGCGUAAAGGGCGCGUAGGCGGCCAGCACAAGUCAGUUGUGAAAUCUCCGAGCUUAACUCGGAAAGGUCAACUGAUACUGUGCGGCUAGAGUGCGGAAGGGGCAACCGGAAUUCUUGGUGUAGCGGUGAAAUGCGUAGAUAUCAAGAGGAACACCUGCGGCGAAGGCGGGUUGCUGGGCCGACACUGACGCUGAUGCGCGAAAGCUAGGGGAGCGAACGGG
rnacentral:rRNA from 1 species